AUUUUUUCCUCCUCAUCAAUUCAAAAUUAUCUAGGGUUUCCCUAAUUUCGGAAGAAUCGAGUCGAAAGGUUAAAAAAAAAAACCCUAGCCGGGUUUCGCGCCUUGGAAAUCCUGAUUCGUGCAGGUCAAAGGGACGGUCGAGGGCAAUUUCCAGCAUAUUGCGGGUGAGAAUGAUGUGAAUUAUCAUUAUAUCGUUCCAAUCAAUUGAGCCAGAAACUCUGGACCUCGGACUCGAAGAGUGCACGAGUAAGGCUGAACUUUUGGAAUUUCAUUAAUAAAAGGUAAGUAUUUUAUUCCUUUCUUUUUCUUUGUAAGCUGACUCAUCAUUCUAAUGGAAGGUCAGGUGCACUUUGAACAAUGAAAACUAAUAGGGUUUGGGAAACUUAAUGAUGAGAACCGGAAAACUUUAUGAAAAGCUGCUUCAGGGUGUUCGCCUACAAAAAUUAAAGGCUCGAGAGGGGCACCCAUUUAGAACAUUUUACCAACGAUGGGACUAAGUUUAAAACGCCAAAGUAAUCUUCAAUUGUUUUCUCAUUCCUAUUUGAAGUAUAAAGACAGCAUUUAAAAUUGAAAGCCUUCAGCACAGAAAGCAGUUUGGUUAGAUAAAAAUAGCUGGCUAUUAUCAGUAUUAAGUUUUAUAUGAAUACACAACAAUAAUCAGUUUGUUUGCUGCUCUCAAAACCGUUGUGCAUGCAGUGUGAUUUAUCACUGAAUUGCUUAAUUAAUUAAAAAGUAGUAACUAACUGAUUUUAGCAACACUCUUUGGUUUACUCACUUUAGGCAUUUAAAAUUGAGAGGGAACUGAAUUGGUUGAAUACACCUGUGAGUAAAUGUUUAUGUUUACUUGUUGCAGUUGUGUUUUAAUGGCCAGGGUGUA